rnacentral:sRNA from 1 species
UUGCAGAUAACUGGUACAAG